CCUACGGGAGGCAGCAGUAGGGAAUUUUCGGCAAUGGGGGGAACCCUGACCGAGCAACGCCGCGUGAACGAAGAAGUUAUUCGUAAUGUAAAGUUCUUUUAACAGGGAAGAAAGAGAAAUUUGACGGUACCUGAUGAAUAUGCUUCGGCUAACUACGUGCCAGCAGACGGGGUAAUACGCAGGGAGCGUGCGUUAUCGGGAAUUAUUGGGCGUAUAGGGUGCGUAGAUGGCAUAGUAAGUCUUUGGUAAAAAUGCUGGGCUCAACCCAGUAGGGCAAAUGAUACUGCAAGGCUAGAGUAUGACAGAGGCAGGUGGAACGACAGGUGUAGCGGUAAAAUGCGUAAAUAUAAGUAAGAACACCAGUGGCGAAGGCAGCUUGCUGGGUCGAUACUGACAUUGAGGCACGAAAGCGUGGGGAGCAAACAGGAUUAGAUACCCUUGUAGUC
rnacentral:rRNA from 1 species